UACGUAGGGAGCGAGCGUUUGUCCGGAUUUAUUGGGCGUAAAGCGCGCGUAGGCGGUUUUGUAAGUCGGGUGUGAAAACUCCAAGCUCAACUUGGAGCCUGCAUCCGAAACUGCGAUGACUAGAGUCAGGUAGGGGAACACGGGAAUUCCAGGUGUAGCGGUGAAAUGCUUAGAUAUCUGGAGGAACACCAGUGGCGAAGGCGGUGUUCUGGGCCUGUACUGACGCUGAUGCGCGAAAGCGUGGGGAGCGAACAGG
rnacentral:rRNA from 1 species